ensembl:lncRNA uncharacterized LOC111944786
AGUAGUGUGUCCCUGCUGACACCACUGGAUGAGCAAUGAUUUUGUGGAAUCCAUUCCUGGGAAAUUUUUCUCUAACGUCCUCCAACAGGAAGGAACAAAGCUACUGGACACAAAAAACCCCAUGAGCCAUCCAAUACCAUGCAGCAAAUGCUGAAGGAAAUGCUGCAGGGAGCACAAGCUAAGCCCCUUGGUGAAGGUGAUCUAGCUUCCCUACUCACAUCCAGGACUGAGCCUCACGGAGAUGGCGAGGGUGUGUCUGCAGGGAGGAUUUUCCCAGACACUUUUCAGGAUGCUGCACACAAGCCUAGCUCCCAUCACAGGGGUCCUCCAACAGGAAGGAACAAAGCUACUGGAUACAAGAAACCUCGUGAACCAUCUAAUACCAUGCAGCAAAUGCUGAAGGAAAUGCAGCAGGGAGGACAAGAGAAGGACCAGAAAGCUGUGCUGAAGGCGGUGUUUCCCAGAGAAAACAGUGGCUCAUGGUCAGCGUCUGCUGCAGGAAGGGAGGCCAUGCCAGGCACAGUCUCAGAGGAUUGGGAUCGUGACAUGGAGUACAUGGAAAUGCUGGUCAGUGGUGGUUUGAAGACUUUGCCAGAUACUGGAGGUCCUCCUGCAUGGACGAACCAAGACAUAGAAGACGGGAAAUCCCUGGAGGCAUCCCGACUUCUGGACAAGAUGUUGAGUGAUCUGGAGACACACCGUGAUGAGGGUGCUGAGACAGCUUCUCCAGCAGCUGGGAUGGAAGAUGGCUUGGAACCAUUAGGAGGUUCUGCAGGUGUGUCUGCAGAGAGGACUUUCCCAGCUACUUUCCUGAUUCCUGAACGCAAGCUCGGCUCCCAUCGCAGGGGUCCUCCUAGAGGGAGGAACAAGCCUACAGAAGAUAUCAAGUCCCUGGAGACAUCGGAAUACAUGGAUGUGAGGCUGAGUGAUCGGGACAGACGUCAUGAGAUGGACCAGAAGUCUUUGCAGAAGGCAGAACUUCCUGCAGAAUGCAACAGCUUCAUUCCAGAUGCCUCUACAGAAAGGGAGGAGAUAGCAGACAGUGGCACAGAAGGAAUCGAUAUUAAGGAUUCAGCGCCCAUCUCUGGAAUUGUCCGCCCGCAGGAUGUUCGGAAAACCUGCGUCGUAGACUCAGUUGUGACAGUUAUCACUGUGCAACUUGCAUUUAUAUGCUGUUUUUUUGGGAUCCGGAAAGUCUACAAGAUCAGACGGUAAUUUGUUGAUUUUUUUCCAGAGUUUUCUUAAAACUCUACACACAGCACUGGGAGCCUGACACAUAGGCAUGCUGCUGUGCACUUGUUUGUAGUCAAUGGUAGUCCACAGAAUUCUGCUGAGAGUUCUGCUGCUGCCCAGGCCUUUCAUUGGCCUCUGAAUUGCUGGGCCUUGUCCUGAGGAGCCCACUUGUACUGCAGCCAAUGCUGGCUCCCACAGGGGCUGCCUGGCCAAGAGCAGC